rnacentral:rRNA from 1 species
UACGUAGGGUGCAAGCGUUGUCCGGAAUUAUUGGGCGUAAAGAGCUCGUAGGCGGUUUGUUGCGUCGGCUGUGAAAACCUGAGGCUCAACCUCAGGCCUGCAGUCGAUACGAGCAGACUAGAGUGUUGCAGGGGAGACUGGAAUUCCUGGUGUAGCGGUGAAAUGCGCAGAUAUCGGGAGGAACACCGGUGGCGAAGGCGGUUCUCUGGGCCUUACCUGACGCUGAGGAGCGAAAGCGUGGGGAGCGAACAGG